GGGAAUUUUCCACAAUGGGCGAAAGCCUGAUGGAGCAACGCCGCGUGUGUGAUGAAGGCUUUCGGGUCGUAAAGCACUGUUGUAUGGGAAGAACAGCUAGAAUAGGAAAUGAUUUUAGUUUGACGGUACCAUACCAGAAAGGGAGGGCUAAAUACGUGCCAGCAGCCGCGGUAAUACGUAUGUCCCGAGCGUUAUCCGGAUUUAUUGGGCGUAAAGCGAGCGCAGACGGUUUAUUAAGUCUGAUGUGAAAGCCCGGAGCUCAACUCCGGAAUGGCAUUGGAAACUGGUAAC
rnacentral:rRNA from 1 species